CCGAGCAAAAACAAUAGGGCUUCGCACCUUUCGGUGCAGGCCAUUCUGGCCUGCUCCUCGGUGCUCGAGCCCUAAUAACUCCUUGAAGAACAAUAGGGUCCUCACACCCCGGUGUGCUCGGGCCCUAAUAAUUAAAUUAGAUUAACACAAGUAAUUUAUAAAUAACAUAAAAUAAAAUAAAGAAAUUAUAAAAAUAAUGAAAGAGUAGCCAGAAUUGCCAGCUCUGUCUUUUUAAAUGCAGAAACAAAGCCUAGAAACCUCUUAUGGCCAUGUAGCCCUGUCACGGGGGUUAUUGGAUUUAUUAACGCAUUUUUUUAUAUUUAUUGAAAGCUAGGCUACUUCUUCACAUAUUAUGAUAAUGCUAUGCAAAUAAUAUGCUGUAGCCUAUAUUAAUAUAUUUGAAGAAAGCUGCUAUAUGUGAAAUCAGAUAAUGUGUCCCCCAUAUGGCCAAAAUUGAAUGAUCCUCAUUUCAUAGCACGUCUGUGAUGAUUUGACUAUUUGGGGUCACCUCAUGGUUUUCUGUAAUUUAUAUCCUCACCCGAACCCUCCAUAGUCUCAUUACUGUGACAGAUAUGGUAAAUUAAUAUGUUUUUAAACGAACGUGUAGCCUAAAGUUUAUUGUGUCUGUCACACAUGCAGACCAGUAAAUUAUCACAUCUGCAGAACUUUUUAACGCGUUUACAUGUUAAAAAUGUAGAUAAUAUUUCAUUGUCAGUGGUUUCACGCAUCCACUCUCAUAUUCAUCAGAAUUGCUUGACCUACCGACAGCGGACAAUCCGCGUAUCUUUAGCUCAGAAUUCUACACACAAACGUAGUCUACAUGUUUCACGUCCCCCACAUGCCAAUUACUUACAUUAAUUAAUAGGUACCAUAUUUUCUUAAUAUUAAGAAAAGGUUAAUGUUAAAAGGCACAGCUCCUGAGUCUUUAUCUUCUACACUUAAACAGAAGGAAUCGGACAGGGUUUGAAAACAUGGAAUCUUUAUUUUUUUUUUUUGCAUUUUUAUGGAUAUUUUUUAUCAUCAAUAUGAUAGAAAACAGAAUAACAAUGCUAAGGGUUUAAUUGGUAUCGUUGAGAACUUAAAGUUUUCUGUGUGUGACGUUUUGACAUGUAUAGCAGUGUUUCGAGCAAAGAACUCACUGUAAAGACAAGAAUUAUGGUUGGGAGUUAAUACUUCUUUUAAAGUAUUGUUAGGAACGAGUCAAGACAAUCAAGAGUACAUUCAUUAGUAAUGAAAUACCUGUAAAACACAAGAACAAGAGAUAGAAUCAAUUUUUUUGUAUUUCUUUUUUCCAAAUCUGUUCACUCCACACGCACAGAUCGGUAGGUGGCGGUAAUCACUUGUUUGUUGGUGUGCCAAACCGCCAUAAAACACCAGAAGAAGAACUCACCGUAACUCCAGAGUAGCAGUCAGAUCGCGGAUUCAUAUGCAGUUAUUCAUAUGUAGCGUUCAUGUGGAAGUGAAAGUCCGUGACAAAAUACUACCUCAAGUACACCACUAUGUGAAAAUGGUCACUCUUGUGCAAUACAUGACCAAAUCUGAUGACUCCCAACUCCCCGACCAAAAUACUGCAGCAGUCGAUAACAUAUCCACAAGAGUUAAAUGGGGCACUUUCUAUAUGAGAGUUCAACCUUUCUGUCUUGAGAUAUUCACACCUUUCAGAUUCCCAACUUUAUGAUAUUGUUCAGAAUUUGGUUGGAGAAAAUUAGGAGAUUGGGGAAAAUGCUGUUCGGUCCAGGCUUGCAGCUAUAAAUAUUCGAGUGCCACGAAGGAGACUUGGACUGUAUGAACCCAAGGACACUGAGACUGACAGACCCAGUUCCUGCUGCCAUGAAGCUCAUCACACCAUGAUCUACUGGCCUCCCAUCAUCGUGAUGCCCUGCCAAUGUCUGACCAGCGAACACCCGCUGCUUCCCUUUAUUUCUAAAUUUUUUAAUUCUUAUUAAAUCGUAUAGUAUAGUUUUUUAUUGGAUCGCGUAAUUCUGCUUAGUGACAACCAACCACUUACUUUAACUUUUAAUUUAAAUGAUUUAAACCUUUAACAAUAAUUCCAAUACAUUUUAAGAAUAUAGAAGGCCUAUUCAAUAUGUAGUAUAUAUUUUCUAGGAUCAGCUAGGUCUGGGUCUCUCUCAAGGGUUUUCUUUCUCCCAAUUACUUUUUCCCCUAUAAGAGUUGUUUUCCUAGGAGUUUUUUAAACCCCUUGGGGUCGGCUGACAUUAGCUUAACUUAAGAGUUACAUUACAUUAUUACUCCGCUCACUAGUACGGUUUAAUCUGAGCCGCUGUACUUUGUUGUCCUAUAAUUUUUCUCGUUUUUAUUAAACAAGUAACCCAACUGGAUCUGCACGUAGAGCGUUGGCCCAAAGACUGCACCGAAGAACCUACCCUACCAUGUUGCAGGUCCCAACUCAUUGUGGCACAGUGAUGGAAACUACUUAAUCUUAACAUGUUUACAAAUUUGAAUGUUUUCUUAAGUCCCUGUAAAGUCAAUUUUAAAAAAUUGUUUCUGAGCACAUUAUAAAUGUUUAAAUUUUUUUUUGCAGAAAUACACAACAAAGACUAUAAACUACGUAGUUCUGAAUUGCAGAGUAAAGAUUGUGUAUUUCUGAGUUCAGGAUAUUUUAGAUGGUCCUGAAAUGGUUACUCGAUAAUGCACUUGAGCCACCCAGCGUGGCCCCGCCCCUAACACAAUUGUGACCAUCCAUUCAGGUUGAAGUGGUAUUUGAAAGUUGAGAAACAGUAAGUGGGUGUUGUUUCAGCUUUGACGGCGUACAUACCACCACCGUUUGAGAGCACAAAAUACUGCCUAUUUUUCCAAGAUUUUGAUAACUUAGUUUAAUUACUGGUGUUUUGCAUGCAAAUUUGGUUGGUUGGUUAAUAACACAUUUUUCCAAAUACAUACUUUCAGAUAUAUCAGUGCAAGUUAUUUUCAGUUAAGACAGCUGAAACAUUCAUUUUAGUUUUGCCUUAAGCCUUAUCUGUGAAAACGGGCAUUGGUGUUCUACAUGCUAAUGUUUGAUUGUUUGGUUUUUAAAUCUUAUGUCACACCCUUCUUGAUGUUCUAAAUGUGAAUAUAUGUAUGCUUAUGUGUGCUGCAGUGCAUCAUUUUAAAUACAAACUAACUAAACUAAGUUCAGAUGACAAUAAAGAAA